CCUACGGGUGGCAGCAGUGAGGAAUAUUGGUCAAUGGGCGCGAGCCUGAACCAGCCAAGUCGCGUGAGGGAUGACGGCCCUACGGGUUGUAAACUUCUUUUGUAGGGGAGUAAAGUGCGGCACGCGUCCCUUUUUGUGUGUACUUGAUGAAUAAGCAUCGGCUAACUCCGUGCCAGCAGCCGCGGUAAUACGGAGGAUCCGAGCGUUAUCCGGAUUUAUUGGGUUUAAAGGGAGCGUAGAGGGGAUGGUAAGUCAGUGGUGAAAGUGUGCGGCUCAACCCUAAACUUGCAAUUGAUACUGGGAGUCUUGAGUACAGGUGAGGUAGGCGGAAUGCGUGGUGUAGCGGUGAAAUGCUUAGAUAUCACGAAGAACUCCGAUUGCGAAGGCAGCUUACUAAACUGCCACUGACAUUGAUGCUCGAAAGCGUGGGUAUCAAACAGGAUUAGAUACCCUUGUAGUC
rnacentral:rRNA from 1 species